rnacentral:rRNA from 1 species
UACGAGAGGCCCAAACGUUGUUCGGAUUUACUGGGCGUAAAGGGCGCGUAGGCGGCGUGACAAGUCACUUGUGAAAUCUCCGGGCUUAACUCGGAACGGUCAAGUGAUACUGUCGUGCUAGAGUACAGAAGGGGCAACUGGAAUUCUCGGUGUAGCGGUGAAAUGCGUAGAUAUCGAGAGGAACACCUGCGGCGAAGGCGGGUUGCUGGGCUGAUACUGACGCUGAGGCGCGAAAGCUAGGGGAGCGAACGGG